rnacentral:rRNA from 1 species
GAUGAACGCUGGCGGCGUGCCUAAUACAUGCAAGUCGAGCGAGCGGACGAGAAGCUUGCUUCUCUGAUGUUAGCGGCGGACGGGUGAGUAACACGUGGAUAACCUACCUAUAAGACUGGGAUAACUUCGGGAAACCGGAGCUAAUACCGGAUGAUAUUUUGAACCGCAUGGUUCAAAAGUGAAAGACGGUCUUGCUGUCACUUAUAGAUGGAUCCGCGCUGCAUUAGCUAGUUGGUAAGGUAACGGCUUACCAAGGCAACGAUGCAUAGCCGACCUGAGAGGGUGAUCGGCCACACUGGAACUGAGACACGGUCCAGACUCCUACGGGAGACAGCAGUAGGGAAUCUUCCGCAAUGGGCGAAAGCCUGACGGAGCAACGCCGCGUGAGUGAUGAAGGUCUUCGGAUCGUAAAACUCUGUUAUUAGGGAAGAACAUAUGUGUAAGUAACUGUGCACAUCUUGACGGUACCUAAUCAGAAAGCCACGGCUAACUACGUGCCAGCAGCCGCGGUAAUACGUAGGUGGCAAGCGUUAUCCGGAAUUAUUGGGCGUAAAGCGCGCGUAGGCGGUUUUUUAAGUCUGAUGUGAAAGCCCACGGCUCAACCGUGGAGGGUCAUUGGAAACUGGAAAACUUGAGUGCAGAAGAGGAAAGUGGAAUUCCAUGUGUAGCGGUGAAAUGCGCAGAGAUAUGGAGGAACACCAGUGGCGAAGGCGACUUUCUGGUCUGUAACUGACGCUGAUGUGCGAAAGCGUGGGGAUCAAACAGGAUUAGAUACCCUGGUAGUCCACGCCGUAAACGAUGAGUGCUAAGUGUUAGGGGGUUUCCGCCCCUUAGUGCUGCAGCUAACGCAUUAAGCACUCCGCCUGGGGAGUACGACCGCAAGGUUGAAACUCAAAGGAAUUGACGGGGACCCGCACAAGCGGUGGAGCAUGUGGUUUAAUUCGAAGCAACGCGAAGAACCUUACCAAAUCUUGACAUCCUUUGACAACUCUAGAGAUAGAGCCUUCCCCUUCGGGGGACAAAGUGACAGGUGGUGCAUGGUUGUCGUCAGCUCGUGUCGUGAGAUGUUGGGUUAAGUCCCGCAACGAGCGCAACCCUUAAGCUUAGUUGCCAUCAUUAAGUUGGGCACUCUAAGUUGACUGCCGGUGACAAACCGGAGGAAGGUGGGGAUGACGUCAAAUCAUCAUGCCCCUUAUGAUUUGGGCUACACACGUGCUACAAUGGACAAUACAAAGGGCAGCGAAACCGCGAGGUCAAGCAAAUCCCAUAAAGUUGUUCUCAGUUCGGAUUGUAGUCUGCAACUCGACUACAUGAAGCUGGAAUCGCUAGUAAUCGUAGAUCAGCAUGCUACGGUGAAUACGUUCCCGGGUCU